rnacentral:rRNA from 1 species
CAUGGUUCUUAAACGAAAGACGGCUUCGGCUGUCGCUCUUAGAUGAUCCCGCGGCGUAUUAGUUAGUUGGUGGGGUAAAGGCCUACCAAGACCAUGAUACGUAGCCGACCUGAGAGGGUGAUCGGCCACACUGGGACUGAGACACGGCCCAGACUCCUACGGGGAGGCAGCAGUAGGGAAUCUUCCACAAUGGGGUAGAAAACCUGAUGGAGCAAUGCCGCGUGAAUGAAGAAGAUCUUCGGAUACGUAAAGUUCUGUUAUUAGAGAAGAAACAAGUCAAGGAGUAACUGUCUUGACUUUGACGGUACCUAACCAGAAAGUCACGGCUAACUACGUG